rnacentral:tRNA from 1 species
AGCCCGAUGGUGUAGUGGUCAAGCAUAAGAGCCUCUGGAGCUCCAGACGCAGGUUCGAAUCCUGCUCGGGCUA